GUGGGGAAUAUUGGUCAAUGGGCGGAAGCCUGAACCAGCCAUGCCGCGUGAUGGAAGGAGGCCCUAUGGGUCGUAAACAUCUUUUGUGCGGGAGCAAUAAGGGCCACGCGUGGUCCGAUGAGAGUACCGUACGAAUAAGCAUCGGCUAACUCCGUGCCAGCAGCCGCGGUAAUACGGAGGAUGCAAGCGUUAUCCGGAUUUAUUGGGUUUAAAGGGUGCGUAGGCUGUUUUCCAAGUCAGCGGUGAAAUGCCGGGGCUCAACCCCGGAACUGCCAUUGAUACUGGGAGGCUUGAAUGCGGAUGCCGUGGGAGGAAUGAGUAGUGUAGCGGUGAAAUGCAUAGAUAUUACUCAGAACACCGAUUGCGAAGGCAUCUCACGAAUCCGCUAUUGACGCUGAGGCACGAAAGCGUGGGGAUCAAACAGG
rnacentral:rRNA from 1 species